AGUGAACGCUGGCGGUAGGCCUAACACAUGCAAGUCGAACGGCAGCACAGUAAGAGCUUGCUCUUACGGGUGGCGAGUGGCGGACGGGUGAGGAAUACAUCGGAAUCUACUUUUUCGUGGGGGAUAACGUAGGGAAACUUACGCUAAUACCGCAUACGACCUACGGGUGAAAGCAGGGGAUCUUCGGACCUUGCGCGAUUGAAUGAGCCGAUGUCGGAUUAGCUAGUUGGCGGGGUAAAGGCCCACCAAGGCGACGAUCCGUAGCUGGUCUGAGAGGAUGAUCAGCCACACUAGAACUGAGACACGGUCCAGACUCCUACGGGAGGCAGCAGUGGGGAAUAUUGGACAAUGGGCGCAAGCCUGAUCCAGCAAUACCGCGUGGGUGAAGAAGGCCUUCGGGUUGUAAAGCCCUUUUGUUGGGAAAGAAAAGCAGCAGGUUAAUACCCCGCUGUUCUGACGGUACCCAAAGAAUAAGCACCGGCUAACUUCGUG
rnacentral:rRNA from 1 species